rnacentral:tRNA from 1 species
GCCCGCUUGGCGGAAUCGGUAGACGCAAGGGACUUAAAAUCCCUCGGUCGUAAGGCUGUGCCGGUUCGAGUCCGGCAGCGGGCACCA